rnacentral:rRNA from 1 species
UAGUCUGCAACUCGACUACAUGAAGCUGGAAUCGCUAGUAAUCGCGGAUCAGAAUGCCGCGGUGAAUACGUUCCCGGGUCUUGUACACACCGCCCGUCACACCAUGGGAGUCAGUAACGCCCGAAGCCGGUGACCCAACCUAUUCUGGAGGGAGCCGUCGAAGGCGGGACGGAUGACUGGGGUGAAGUCGUAACAAGGUAUC